GAUGAACGCUGGCGGCGUGCCUAAUACAUGCAAGUCGAGCGAACAGACGAGGAGCUUGCUCCUCUGACGUUAGCGGCGGACGGGUGAGUAACACGUGGAUAACCUACCUAUAAGACUGGGAUAACUACGGGAAACCGGAGCUAAUACCGGAUAAUAUAUUGAACCGCAUGGUUCAAUAGUGAAAGACGGUUUUGCUGUCACUUAUAGAUGGAUCCGCGCCGCAUUAGCUAGUUGGUAAGGUAACGGCUUACCAAGGCAAUGAUGCGUAGCCGACCUGAGAGGGUGAUCGGCCACACUGGAACUGAGACACGGUCCAGACUCCUACGGGAGGCAGCAGUAGGGAAUCUUCCGCAAUGGGCGAAAGCCUGACGGAGCAACGCCGCGUGAGUGAUGAAGGUCUUCGGAUCGUAAAACUCUGUUAUUAGGGAAGAACAAAUGUGUAAGUAACUAUGCACGUCUUGACGGUACCUAAUCAGAAAGCCACGGCUAACUACGUG
rnacentral:rRNA from 1 species